rnacentral:lncRNA from 1 species
CGGCAUGCCCGAAUUCGCCCACCAAGGCCGAUCCCAGGCUCCCCUCAUUUCCCCCUCCCCUUCCUCUCUAUGACGGGCGGGCCCCACCCCGGCCUUCCCUUUCCUCCAGCCGCACGGGCACGCGCCCAGCGCGCCGCCGCCACAGGCAGCCGAACCGGCCGCGCCUCUCACCUCCUCGUCCUUUCCCCUUCCCUCGGAAGUGGAGCACUAGCAUCGUUCUCUCUCCCUUCCUCUUCCCCACUUCCUCUCCCCAUUCACUCCGAGGGAAACGGCCGGCGCCACUAAUGGCAGCCGCCGACCUCUCCCUUCCCGGAUUUCUCUCUCCCUCUCCUUUCUCUCUAUAAAUAUCGACGCCGAGCCCCCAUGGAUCCGUUCCCCGGCCACCCAAGCUCGCCCCACGCCAUCUCCUCUCUCGCCGCUCUCGCCGACGCCCUGCUCACCAACGACCGGAGCCGCUGGAGCGCCAUCGCCAUCGAGGACCACUAAAGCGCCGCCGUCGAGGACCGCCCGGAGCACGCCAACUGCCUCCCUUUCUUCUAGCCGUGCCCCUGCUCCCUGGCUGGCCCCCUGCUCUUCGAUUUCGUCCCUCUGCAAGGACUAGUGGAACAAGGUUGAAGAUGACACAAUUUUUGUUCUAUUUUAUAAACUAUGUUUAAUUUAGUUUAGAUCUCCUGCAGCGAUUUGUUGUUUAAAUUUGUAUAUAUAUCUUGAAAUUGAAAUCAUGAGAAUAUUGAAUGCUUAAUAUCGAGUGUAUGUGAUGAACUACUGUUUCUAUUAUUUAUCGCAUAUGCAUGUUAAUUUGUUUAUGACCAUUAAAAUUAUUUUGGAGUUAGUUGUUUAGAAUACGAAUAAAAGGAUUGAUGUUUUAGUAGCCUUAUAAUGAUGCGCUGAUCAUGAUAGAAUGUUUAUUUGGAGCUCAUGUUCUCAUAAAUUGUUUAUAGAUGUUCUAAACAAGUAUUUAGAAGAAAAGUAGACUACACUUUUCUUAAUUAAAAUUUAGCAGAAAAUAUAAACUAGACAUUUUACUUAUGAAAUAUAAUUUAGUGUUGAAAUAACAUAAUUAGUGAUCAUGGGAGGCUUUUCUAAAUAUGUUGAAAUAACAUAAUUAGUGAUCAUGUAUACUCUAACCUAAAUAAUAGUUUAACUUAGUGCCCAUAAUAAACUAUAAAUUAUGUGACUUAUAAACAGCGUUAUAUUGUCUUCAUAAAGUGUUUUAGAUGAAAAGGUUAAAAGGAUUCAUAACCCGCGUGUUUUCUAGUAGAGAUAAUAAAUCUACCCCAUAGAGUUUGUUUAACGCUACAUCUAUACUAAUAUAAAUGAAUUUAUAUACUAUGUGUUCCCCUUGUUAAUUUGCCAUAUGGUCUUUUCAAUAGAAAUAGUGAAGUAAAAUAAAUAGUAUUUCAUGUCAUAAGCAAAUAGAGUGAUUACCGGUGUAUUUUUGUUUAUAUUAUAGUUACGAAUGAAAUUUAAUGUUUGGAUGUUUUCAUUCUAUAAGCAUGAUUUGUAUGAUGUAUGUUUUAUUUGUGGAAUGAUGUUUGUUUGUUUAUUGGUGUAUGUUUUUCUUUUGUAUGUACGAUGUGUGAAUCUAUAUUAGAAGCUGAUUUUGUGGUGGAGGACCCAAAUACGUUUGAGGACGACACUCAAGACACUUCUGAACAAAGAAAAUGGAUUCUCCCUCUGCAUUUCUUAUUGUACCCAAAUAAUAAAUUCAACAAGAUUUACUUCUGGAUACGUGCAUAAUUUGAUGGGUUUUGCGUAAAAUAGAAUAACCUAUUAAUACCAACCUUAUUCCUUGAUUAACUUGGGAUUAAUACUAUGCUUAGUAGUUGCGCUAUUGCUUAACUUUGUCAUUAUGAUGUCACUUUCUUUAAGAUGUUAUUUUUCUAGAGAUAAAAUUUAUACUAUGAAUGUUAAUAUGAUGAUUAAACAUGAACAUUUUGUAUUAAAUGGAACAUGGAGUGACGACCCAGGAAAAAAAGUGCAACCACGAGUGCUAUCAUGGAUCUGGCUUAGUAAAUAGCUUUAUAGAUUUAGUGUUUAGCAACCCUACCUGAAAGAUGGACAAGAGGGGGCAACCGUGGUUUGGUGGCAGCUCAUGUUAACAUGGGGUGGUAGUCUUGGCUAUGGCGCCUCAUCCAGAGGGUCACUAACAUUGACGUGGAAACCUUAGCUCGUGACUUUGUACUAAGGAUAUUUUGUGAAAGAGCCUCAUAGUGGAUCCCUAGCAUUUCACCUUUGUAGUGUUUAAGAGUCCGUACAACCCAGUAUAGAGGGGAUACACGACUUGUGGGUAAAGUUGUACCACAUCUGCAGAAUAUAAAACUGAUAUGUUAGCCAUGUUCACGGUUAAGAGUAGCAUGGACCCUCACAUGAUAAGUGAACUUAAAGAUGGAGAAUAAAUCGUGAUUUAAAAUGGUUUGCUUAAGUGGUUUCACAUAAGUGUUUUUGAGAUAUAAUCAUUAUGCUCAUGAUUUAAUUGGGUUUUGGGAUACAUUUACAAUUAGUAAGUUAAGUGUUGUUAAUAAAAUAUUGACCAACUAAAAUGCUUACCUCCUAACCAUAACCUACCUUGUUAACCUUGCAUAAGUCCUCCCAUUUGUUGAGCCCCCACCGUAAGUGAGCUCACCCCUUGCUAAAUUUUUUAUCAGAAGCUGAUGAGGAAGACUUUGACAAAGAUGUUAACGAGUACUUAGUCUAGCG